rnacentral:rRNA from 1 species
AGAGUUUGAUCCUGGCUCNNNAUUGAACGCUGGCGGCAUGCCUUACACAUGCAAGUCGAACGGUAGAGGGGCAACCCUUGAGAGUGGCGAACGGGUGAGUAAUAUAUCGGAACGUGCCCAGUCGUGGGGGAUAACGCAGCGAAAGCUGCGCUAAUACCGCAUACGAUCUAAGGAUGAAAGCGGGGGAUCGCAAGACCUCGCGCGAUUGGAGCGGCCGAUAUCAGAUUAGGUAGUUGGUGGGGUAAAAGCCCACCAAGCCGACGAUCUGUAGCUGGUCUGAGAGGACGACCAGCCACACUGGGACUGAGACACGGCCCAGACUCCUACGGGAGGCAGCAGUGGGGAAUUUUGGACAAUGGGCGCAAGCCUGAUCCAGCAAUGCCGCGUGCAGGACGAAGGCCUUCGGGUUGUAAACUGCUUUUGUACGGAGCGAAACGGUCUGGGUUAAUACCCUGGGCUAAUGACGGUACCGUAAGAAUAAGCACCGGCUAACUACGUGCCAGCCGCCGCGGUAAUUC